GGAGAGAAGCUAACGGUGCUCAUCGUGUGGCACGCAGGUGCGUUGUUUUCUCUCCACUAAGGCUGCUGGGUGGGGCCAAAAUAGUCCAGGCAGCCAAGUGCAGAGGCGUUGGGGGCGGCAAAGAUGCAAAGGAUCCCCACUGUGGCUGCACCCCGAGGAGGAGUCCGUGGCAGGAGGCCCACACCCAGGACCCGGCGCCAACAGUGAGGAGACGAACCUGGAAGACAUCCCGCUGUCCAGACACCGCGAGGGAGGCGAGUGGUGCUCGCAGCCUGGGACUUAGGAACACAGGGAAACAGCUUCCACAUGCCAUUUGCUGAAUAAAUAUUUCUUGCAG
rnacentral:lncRNA from 1 species